CAAUAGCGUAUAUUAAAGUUGUUGCAGUUAAAAAGCUCGUAGUUGGAUUUCGGGAAGGGCCAGUUGGUCCGCCGCAAGGUGUGUUACUGACUGGUCUGUUCUUCUUCGCAAAGACUGCGUGUGCUCUUCGUUGAGUGUGCGUAGGAUUUACGACGUUUACUUUGAAAAAAUUAGAGUGUUCAAAGCAGGCUAUCGCUUGAAUACAUGAGCAUGGAAUAAUGGAAUAGGACUUUGGUCCUAUUUUGUUGGUUUCUAGGACCGAAGUAAUGAUUAAGAGGGACAAUUGGGGGCAUCCGUAUUUCGUUGUCAGAGGUGAAAUUCUUGGAUUUACGAAAGACGAACAACUGCGAAAGCACUUGCCAAGAGUGUUUUCAUUAA
rnacentral:rRNA from 1 species